rnacentral:rRNA from 1 species
UACGUAGGAGGCGAGCGUUGUCCGGAAUCACUGGGUGUAAAGCGCGUGUAGGCGGCCUGCCAAGUCUGCUGUGAAAGCGCCUGGCUUAACCGGGCGAGGUCGGUGGAAACUGCAAGGCUCGAGUCCGGAAGAGGGGGGCGGAAUUCCCAGUGUAGCGGUGAAAUGCGUAGAUAUUGGGAGGAACACCAGUGGCGAAGGCGGUCCCCUGGGCCGGAACUGACGCUGAGGCGCGAAAGCGUGGGUAGCAAACGGG